rnacentral:lncRNA from 1 species
CCAUCUCCAGCUGGUUACUCCAAUGGCUCCAUACUAACAAUAUUUUCAAUCAUGAUUCAAGGAGAUUUUACUCUAUUUUUUCCUCUAUUCUCUGGAUUAUUUGGAAAUUAAGGAUUGGAAUCAUUUUCAGAAUAGCUGAUUCCAGUCUUGUGAGUGCACUCAUUAGAUUUUGUGACCUCCACAAGUUGGUCCUCAGUGCUUUCCCC